AGUUAAUUAGCUUAAGUAAAGCUUGUGUUUUGAAAACACAAAAUUAGAAGUUUAAUUCUUCUAUUAACUU
rnacentral:tRNA from 1 species